CAGCAGGAGCUCUGCCUCGCUUUCCUGGGAGGAGCAGCUGGGAAGGUCCAAAGCAUCGCUCAGCUGGUGGAGAGCACCCAAAAGAGACAGAAGGGAAGGGCCUGAAGGUCCUCACAGCACCGAGCAGCCAGAUGGACCCUCGGGGGAAAGGGGAGGAGGAAAGGACAGGAGUGAGCAGAUGAAGAGGAGCAGCUCCACACAAGCAGCCCUUGCACAGCCAGCACCGAGAGCACAGCAGGAGCUGUGUCACUCUGCUGUGCUAGGGACACUGGCACCGCCACUCAGGACAGCCCUGAAGGAUGGACACCCCUUCUGCAUCCUCUCCCAUCCGUGUGCACCUGCUCCCUGCCUGCUGCUGGCUCAGAGGGCCCAGCACGAGCAGCCUGGCAGCAGCAGAGCCUCUUCCCUCUGUCCUGACCAGGAGACAGGGACUGCCUGACAGACAGACAACAAAAUCAGACAGGACAGAGGAUUCUCUGAACAAAAUGCAGCUGCUGGAGGUCUCAGCUGUGCUCUGCCCAAGGUCCCAGGAAUUCUCUCAGGGCAUUUCAGGAAAUACUCAAAGACCUCAGUCCAAAGAGCUCCUGGAGCAGAGCAGAGAUGCAAAGGCCAGGAGAGGAUUCAGUGCUUCAGCUGCCAGAGCAGGAGUGGCUCAAUGUGGGGACAGACCCUGGUUCACUCCAAAUCCUAACCUCAGGGGACAGGAGAAGAGAUGAGAGGAGGCCUCCUGCUCUGCCACAUCUCCAUUCUCCUGCGCUCCUGAGGCAGAGCUCAGCUGACCACGAGUAUUCUUGUGUAGGAUGGAAGCAUUUGUAACUCUAUCAAAUACAUAACACCUAUCAAAUAUAUAACAGCUGAGAGGCUGUUCAGCACUUUCCUUUACAGACACCUCUCUCAGCUGUUUCAAACUUCACCAGGAUUUAUUUCACUAUGAUUUCCUGUCCUGGAGGAUCUGCCCCUGAGAAGGAAUUUGACUUUUCUCUGCAAAAGAAAAACUCAGGGACUCGGACACUGUCUGGACUAGGCAGCCUGGGCUAGGAGGACUUUACAGGUGACAUUUGGUGUCCUUGCUGUCCCUGAGUUCAGCACUUCGCCCCACAGCAGGGGCAGUGGGGUUUGGGGGCAGCUGGGCAGUGUGGGAACUGCUGUUUGGGGGGAACCAGCAGCUCUCUCUGUCCCCAGAAAUGGGGCAUGAGGCUGGUGACAGGACUGGCACCAGUCCCUGCCACAGGAGGGAACUGGAGCUCCCUGCAGCUCUCAAACCAUUCUGUCUUCCAGGCAGGGGAGGAAAGCUCCCUGCUCACCUCCACAGCCGUGCUGGGCAGGAGCCACGGCCUCAAAGAACUCAAAUGACUUCAGUUUGAAACCGAGGCACAUUUGUGCCCCAGUCCUGUCCUGGACAGGACAGAAACCUCCUCCCAAUUCCCCAGAAUAGCCAGCAGGGAGCUGUCACCCUAAGGGAUGUCUCCCUAAGGAAUGUCCCCCCUAAGGGAUGUCCCCACUAAGGGAUGUCCCCACUAAGGGAUGUCCCCACUAAGGGAUGUCCCCACUAAGGGAUGUUCCCCUAAGGGAUGUCCUCAUAAAGGGAUGUCCCCCCUAAGGGAUGUCCCCCCUAAGGGAUGUCCCCCUACGCGGGAUGCCACAAGCACUUUGAGCAGGCACAAGGGCGUGCAGAGCAGGGCCUGUGCCAGGGGCUUUGUCCUGCUCUGGGUUUGCUGCCACUUUUCUGGGAUAUUUCAUUAAAGCUGCUGCCUUCCUCCCCAGAUCUGUUUUCCCCCUGGCAGGGGUGGUGAGGUGAAGAGGAGCCUCUGGUUGCGGUAGCUCUGUGGAGGAGCAGCUCUUGCACGAGGUGGGAUGAGAGCUGGAAAUUGGGGUAGCACUUGUGGGAUAAAUCAGAUCAGUGGCAAACAUCAGCAUCAUUAACUCCUCCCUGGUAACAUGGAGAGACCCCUCCAGUGCAAGGCAAAAACAAUCUUUUUUUAAAAAGAAUCUUUAAAAUUGCAGGCACUGCAAUUUUGCAAUCAAUGAGGCAGUGGGACACUGACUGAUUCUUUCCCCUGCAAAUAUAAAAUCACAUCAAGAGGA